GUCAGCUCCCAGCUCUUGGACGAGCGCUGCUCGGCCGAGAUUAACUGGGCAGCAGGGAACAAACACGACGUCCUUAUUGCAUCAGCCACACUAAACGAACAAGGUUGAGGGUGACAGUCUGACUUCCGCUGCCAUUCUGCCCGGGAAACUCACGUCGCCGAGAGCCUGCAGACUCUUCACGGCACCGACGAUGACCUGGUGGUCCACCCCGAGGCUGGUCGCCACUUCCAGGCUGUCCACGCCAUCGUCCACUUUCUCAACCCGCAGUAGGAGCGUCUCCGCCACACCGGUAUCCGCCAUGCUGGAGCCCCGUGAAGCCCAAAAGAGACCGGAUGUGACAUCGGGUUCCCAAAGACCGAAUGUCUUCGGAUAGCGAGACGUCAAAAAUGAGGACAUACGUUACCUCCUGGCCGGAUGCACCAUCCUGGCCCAGAACACAACAUCAUCUGUGCUGACACACUGGCUGAGCCAUUUGUUUGGAUUUCUCACAUGGUGAAUGAAAGCCUACGUGAAGCCCAGACAAACAGUACAGAUCCAGUCAAACCAGGACUAGAAUGGUUGAAAUGAAU